UUAGUUCCAUCAUUGCAGGAGCUGAUUUUAGUUGAAAUGCCAGAGUUGGAGAGAUGUACCUGCACUUCCCUAGGGGAUUUGAACUCUAGUUUAAGGGUACUGGAGAUUCGGAGCUGCCCUGCACUCAAGGUGUUCGAUCUGUUUGAGAAAGGUCAUAACUUUGCUGAGCAGCCGUCAUUGUUUGAAGGUCAUAACUACGGAACUGGGUGGAAGCUAUGGUUGCCUGGUCUUAGAGUACUCAUAGUAAUCAAUUGUCCUCAUUUACUGAUGCCGUGUCUCCUACCACAUUCAACUAAUGUUUCUAGACUGCACAUCGACGGAGUUCCAACACUUCUGAAGAUGGAGGGAUCGUCCACAGAAAAACUAGAAAUUUCUCCAAAUAGUCGAUCUGGUGAGAAUUCCGUCUUAAUCAGCUCUUCUCUUUAAGGGAUCUCCGUAUAGUAGGGUGCAGAAAACUUUUCUCUUCAGAUGUUCGGCCAGAGCUUACUGAUGAAUAUGCGAUAGGUGCAUAUCGGUUUGGCCUCCGGUGUCUCAGAAGUCUCUAUAUUAGUUCAUCAGGAAUAACAGGGAAGUGGUUAUCUUUGAUGUUGCAACAUGCGCAAAUCCUGAAGGAACUGUGCUUAAAUGACUGCCCUCAGUUCACACAAUUACAGAUUGAAGAGGAAGAGAACAGUCAACCAAAUUUUAUCUCAGCCCCAGAGACUUCAUCAAGCUGGGGUCCAGAUGGACUUUUGUGCAUUCCAUUAAAUCUCACCUCCUCUCUAGAAAAGAUAGCUAUUUCUCGAAGCCCUUAUUUGAGAUUUUACGGGAAGAAGGAAGACUUUGCUGGAUUUACCUCCCUGCAGGAGCUAAUAAUUCGAUGCUGUCCUGGGCUGCUCUCAUCCUUGGUGCAUAAUGACGGAAAUGAUGUCCAGGCAAACAGAACAUGGCUUCUUCCGCAGCCACUUGGACAAGUUGUGAUCAGUCAUUAUGAUCACAAAACACUAUCACUCUGCUUCAUGGGUAAUCUCACCUGUCUCAAAAAAUUGGAAGUAUUGGAAAGCCCAGGCUUGGAAUCUCUACAGCUGCAUUCCUGCACGUCGCUUGAAGAUUUGAGAAUUCGUGAAUGCAAACAGCUUGCCACAGUAAAGGGAAUGCAAUCCCUUGUGAACCUCAUGAAUUUGGAAGUACAAGAAAACCCUAGUUUGGUAUCUCUACAGUUGCAUUCCUGCAGGUCGCUGGAAGAUCUGAGAAUUGAAAAAUGUGAAUCACUCAUCGCACUAGAGGGCUUGCAAUCCCUUGUGAACCUCAGGAAUUUGGCCCUACUCAACUCCCCUGGCUUGCCUCCAUAUUUGGAACGUUUGUCGGGGCACUAUGAGCUGGGCCCUCGACUCGAAAGUCUUCACAUUGAUGACUUGUCUCUCCUUACCAUGUCACUGUGCAAUGGCCUCACUUGCCUCCAAUGCCUACGACUUGAGAAGCUGGAACAGGGAGGGACAAGACUAACAGAUGAGCAAGAGAGAGCGCUACUGCUCCUCAGGUCCCUGCAAAACCUUGAAUUUGAUGAUUGUUUCAACCUCGUACAUCUUCCUGUGAGACUGCACAGCCUUCCUUCCCUCAAGACAUUGAGUAUCGUUUGUUGUGAUGACAUCCCAAGGCUGCCUAAGAAGGGCCUCCCAUCUUCGCUGGAAAGGCUAGUGAUAUACGAUUGCAGUACUGAGCUAAGAGAACAGUGUGAAUCGCUAACAAGAGGCAAGCUAAGGGUUGUGAUGAAUGACUGAAUUUUGCGCAGGGCGAUGCAGAAACAUCUUCUUUCAAGAUUCAAGACGCGUGUCCUUGUUUGGGGAUAUGUGCUACAGCUCACCGCUAGGUUUACAACUGUUCUACCAUUGAUCAUGUUAUCUUGAGAAUUGACAUAACUCAGCGUCGUGCUAAAAUGAGCGGUCUCUCUGCAAGCAUUUGAAGAUGUUGAACAUAUUGUUGAUGCAGUAACCAUCUUUAGGAUCAUGACAUAUACCGUAUAAUUAUAAGGUAUUGGAGAGAGUGCUCAGGCCAUCCCUGUUUCUCCUGGGCGACCUGUUAUAUAACCUAUGUUUGAAGAAAUAAAUUAUGCUAGACAUAUUUAUCUA